ensembl:snRNA U1 U1 spliceosomal RNA
AUCCUCACCUGGCAAGGGAGAUACCAUGAUCAUGAAGGUAAGGUUUUCCAGAGAGAGGGUUACCCAUCACACCCCGGGUGUGCUGGCCCUGCAAUUUCCCCAAAUGUGGGGAACUCGACUGCAUAAUUGGUGAGUGGCGGGCUGUGUUCACGCUCUCCCCGCA